AAGASCUUGCGCUUUUGGAGCGGCCGAUGUCUGAUUAGCUAGUUGGUGGGGUAAUGGCCUACCAAAGCUUCGAUCAGUAGCUGGUCUGAGAGGACGGCCAGCCACACUGGGACUGAGACACGGCCCAGACUCCUACGGGAGGCAGCAGUGGGGAAUUUUGGACAAUGGGCGCAGGCCUGAUCCAGCCAUGCCGCGUGAGUGAAGAAGGCCUUCGGGUUGUAAAGCUCUUUCAGCCGGGAAGAAAAGGCUGCGACUAAUAAUCGCAGUUCAUGACGGUACCGGAAGAAGAAGCACCGGCUAACUACGUGCCAGCAGCCGCGGUAAUACGUAGGGUGCGAGCGUUAAUCGGAAUUACUGGGCGUAAAGGGUGCGCAGGCGGUUUUGUAAGUCAGAUGUGAAAUCCCCGGGCUUAACCUGGGAACU
rnacentral:rRNA from 1 species